GACCCCUGCGUCCCGGGGGCACAGGCGUUCUUAAGGCUGCAGAGCCCUGGGUCCCCCACCCGGCCCCGGUUCACUUUGAGCGGUCCCAAGGCCUGAGGGCCUACUGUCCAGUCCCCAGGUUAUCGUCCUGAGCAAAGACAGACCCCGAGCCCUGCGGUCUUGGGGCUCAAACAGUCCCUGGAUGGCCAAACAAGCAAAUAUUCGCCAUGGCAGUGGGUGCUGGAAGGGUGGCUCACGGAGCUGACGCCCUCCGCAGAGAACCGUGGUCUAGUCCUGCGGUCACGAGGCCUAUCUGGGACAGUGGUGUUUGAGCUGAGACUUUAACGAAUAGAGACAGGUGAGGUUCCUGCAGCCCAGGGCUUCAGGAUUUCAUCAAAUGGUCUGCUGCACUGUGCUGGAAUUUUGAACUCCCCAGAGUAGUAAACAACAUCUUCUCAAGGGUAUACAAGUCAUCAGAUAGAGAAAACACCCAUUAUAGAGCUGUGGAGCCCUUACGAUAUAGUGCUAUGCUGCAACAAAUUAGACAGAAGAGUAUUUGUUGAAUAAUAAAAGGUAUCAAUGAACGAACAAAUAAAUUAAUGAGCUGAUGUAUUGAUUAAAUGAAUUUACUUCUUUCAGAUUUACUUUUCCAAACUAAAAAAAAAUUGUUUUAAACUUUGUUCCAAAGUUAUACAGUUUUUACAAAAAUAAAACUUUAUUUUUGAAUUGCUUUAUAUUUACAGAAAAGUUGCAAAGAUAUGGAAAGUUGCCUCACCCUAUAAUUAGCUUCUGACAUUAGUAUGGUACAUUUGUCACAAUUAUUGAACCAGUAUUGAUGAUAUGUUAUUAUUAACUAAAUUCUAUACUUUAUAAAGAUUUCCUCAGUUUUUACCUAAUGCCAUUUCUCUGUUCCAGGAACCCAUCCCAGAAAUCACAUUUCAUAUUGAUAUCAAGUUUCCUAAGACUCCUCUUCGUAGGUACAGUUUCAGGGCCAAAAUUUUAAGGGCCUUGAGUGUUUUGAGCAGUACUGGACAGGUGUUUUUUAGGAUGUCCCUCGACUGAGCUUUGACUGAUGAAUUGCUCAUGAUUGAAUUGGGACUAUGGGUCUUCAGAAGAAAGAUCAUGAGCCCUUUUUGUCACAUCAUGUCAAAGAUACCAUGCCAUCAAUACAACUUAUUACUGAUGAUGUUGACAUUGACCACUUGACUGAGAUAACAUUUGUCAGAUUUCUCCACUGUAAAGUUACUUUUCCCCACUUUCCAUACUAUACUCUUUUGUAGGAAGUCACUAUGCACAGGCCAUACUUAAAGAGAGCUCCAUCUCCUUGAGGGCAGAGUAACUACAUUAAAUAUUUGAAAUCUUUCUGCCCAGGAGAUUUGUCUAUUUUUCCAAUUUAUUUAUUCAAUCUAUUAUUAUUAUGUUAGAUAUGAGACCUUGCUAUGUUGCCUAGAUGGGUCUCAAACUCCUGAGCUCAAGUAAUCCUUCUGUCUCAGCCUCCUGAGCAGGUGGGACUAUAGGCAUGCACCACUGCACCUGACAAUCAUUUAUUGAUGGCAGUAUGAACUCAUGGACAUUUGUUUUAUCCUUAAGUUAUAACCCAAUAUUAUAUUAUUUUAUUGCUAAAUUAUUUCAGUUUUGGCCAUUGAAGCUCUUUUGUUUAAUGCCCAUGUCAUUUUGACAUACCUCUAUCAUUGUGGGAUUUCUUUUUACUUUUUUGCAGAUAUUUCUUUAGUUUUUGGCACUACAAGAGGCUCUAGUUUCAUCAUCUAUCCUGCCCCAGCCCAAGAUUCAACCAUUUCUUCAAGUAGCCCUUGCUCUUUUUUACUGUACAUUGUAAUUAAUAAUCAAGUUCUUGGCACUAGGUUCUUCAGAAAUUUUUUUUUAGUUUAUAUGUUUGUUGAUAAGGUAUUGAUAAAGAUUCUGCUAGUGAUUACCAAUGUAACUUUUGGCAAAUUAUCUGAAACAUGGAAAUAAUAAUUUCUACUUCAUAGGACUGUUGUACAUUUUAAAUGGAUUCACUAGGAUAGUGCACGGAGUAAAAGGAAACAAAUAGUAACUCUAAAUGGUAUUAUUACAAAUUCAUU
rnacentral:lncRNA from 1 species